UGGGGAAUAUUGCACAAUGGGGGAAACCCUGAUGCAGCGACGCCGCGUGAACGAAGAAGGUAUUCGUAUCGUAAAGUUCUGUCCUAUGGGAAGAUAAUAACAGUACCAUAGAAGAAAGCUCCGGCUAAAUACGUGCCAGCAGCCGCGGUAAUACGUAUGGAGCGAGCGUUGUCCGGAAUUAUUGGGCGUAAAGGGUACGCAGGCGGUUUAAUAAGUCGAAUGUUAAAGAUCGGGGCUCAACCCCGUAAAGCAUUGGAAACUGAUAAACUUGAGUAGUGGAGAGGAAGGUGGAAUUCCUAGUGUAGUGGUGAAAUACGUAGAUAUUAGGAGGAAUACCAGUAGCGAAGGCGACUUUCUGGACACAAACUGACGCUGAGGUACGAAAGCGUGGGGAGCAAACAGG
rnacentral:rRNA from 1 species